CGCCCGCUCGCCCGGGACCCGGAUGACGAGGGGAAGGGGGGCGGCGGAGGGCCGCUGCGGCCCGCGCAUGCGCGUCGGGGGUAGCCGUGGCCUGGCUUCCCCUGUCCAAGGCAGGCCUGAGCGUGGCACUGGGCUCCAGGCACCCGCCUUAUAACAGAACAACUAUCCUCGCUAUGGCUUACUAGAUGCAGCCAUAACAUCGCGCCCAAAGGAAAAAGCCUCUGCAGAUGGAGACAGUGCUAACCCGGAGCUCAGGAAGACUGCCCGUUUCUCAGGACACAAUCCCAGCUGUUUAAGGGACACUGCCCCACAUCUGAAAGCAGGGAGUGUCUUGGGCGCUCAAGCUUUAGCAAGUAGAGGUGUGGAGGUGCACAGACUGUUCACAGGCUAGCCUUAGUAAUCGGGCUGUCUGGCUUCUUUCCCUCCUAACUCACCACAGGGUCAGCAUUCCCAGAAAUACGAUCUCUGUACUAGGGCACCCGAUUUGUACAGCAAGGGAAAGCUUUUAAAUAAUUGUUUAUUUUUUAAAGUGUUCAAAAUUGAUUGUACCGUUUUCUUGUUAAAUAAAUUGAAACUAUUUUUAA